AUUCCCCUCACUCUACAUUUCUCCCACGGCUCUACUCGUCUGUGUCUCUCGAACUACAGGGCAUUGCCGACAGUAACCUUCAAUUGAUUGACAUAGCAUCAAUCAUCAAUUAUUGAGAAUCUUCUCUAAGCUAAACUGUCUAAGAUUUAUCUCUUUUAGAAUUUUUUUUCUUCUCCAUUACUUUUAUUGCUACCAUUUUGGUGUCUCCAGAAAGUUGUAUUGGGAAUUUCAUUAGACUGCAUUUGGCUGAAAUUUGUGUGAGUUUUGUAGUGGAGGGAACUUGUAAUUAGGUAAAGCAUAAUCCAUUAUAAUUCAUAUUUUUGUUGAUAGUUAGUAUCCUAUUUCGAUUUUAAGUUAGGAUUACUAGGUUAUGCUGCUUUUGUAGUGGAAGAUCAGGUUUUUUAUAUUUGAGACUUACCUUCAAUGUUGGAACUUUUAAUUUGUAAAUGGCAAAAUACAACCUUUGAAUCAGUGAGUUUGCACUUGUAGUAGAUGGUCAGGUUUCAUAGGCUUGCUUUGAAUGAUGGAGCUUUUAUUUAGUAAAUGGCAAAGUACAACCUUUGAAUAAUGAGACUAGAUUUCAUAAUUUUUGUUGACAGACAUAUCAUAUCUCUAUUGUCAAGUUAAGAUUGAUGGGCUAUAGUGCAAUAAUAGAGUGGAAUAUCAGGUUAUUUCGAUGUACACUAAAUGUAUAAACUCUCUAGAUCCGCCCCUGUGGGUAAGUAAAAUAAAGAGAGUGUUAGGGGAAUUUCAAGUAGAGAAAAUGCUUAGAAAUUUGGAGUAUUGUGGAAGAAUGUAUAUCUAUUUUUACCUUGUAGAGUGCAAUAUAAACUUGCAUAGUUUUGGGUCUGGGAAAAAAAUAUUAAAUCCUGAGUAGAGACUUGCUUCAUUUUAUUGAUGUUUCUUGUUUUUGCUAUUUAAUAAUCUGGGAAAUUUUACUAGUAUAGUUUCAGAUUUUCUAAUUUUUCUUAUGUUGUUUACUUAGCGAGCUUAAUCAUAAGAAGAAAUUACCAACAAAUGAUGUGUUUAUACUUGCUCAUCAUGCUCAGCAAGUAUAUUUCACACGUUUUCCAAUGAAGGCUAGAGAUAUACUUGAUUGGUGGGCGGUUUUGAACACAAAAGCAAGAAAAUGUUCCCAAUAUACAUGGAAUCAUAUUGGAGAAUGAAGAGUGUAAUGUGUGGGUGGAACUUGCAUUCCAAGAGGAUCAACUACCAUCUACCCAAAAACCCCUUCGAAUAAAUUCAGAAUUUGAUGGCCAAAAUUUAGUUCAUAAUGAUAUUGGGGCUGAAGAAGUGGAUGUGGCUGAAUCUAGGAUCUUUGAUGUAGAUUCUGAAAGGCAUGAUGUAGAAGAAAAUACACAACUGGAGGACAUUGACAGUAGUGAUGGUUUCACAACAUGUGCAAGUGAAGUAGAAAAUUGUACUGUUAUUAUUCUUGUCAAUUUUAGUUCAAGUUUUUAGUUUAUUGUUCUUGUCAUUGUUCAUAUUUUUCGUUGGCUGAAUGUGGGAAACAUUUGACAUGUUUGUGGAAAAGGGAAUAAUGGCCAGGCUGGACAAUAAGCUGGGUGAUGUUUUGGUUCAAGAGACAGGAUAAUGGUGUAUGCCAACUCAACUUCUAGUGAAUGUGCCCAUUCUUAAUUUGACAGGUGGAGUUUCUUUUAUCUAUGUUUGAGAAAUUUAGUUUUACUGGUUUCUUUUAUCUAUGUUUGAGAAAUUUAGUGAUAUAGUAAAAUUAUGUUUUUUCGUAACUAUAUUUGACAAAUUGAGUAAUUUUGACAAAUGAUGAAUCAGUAACUUUUAUCUCUGUUGAAAAAUUUAGUUACAUAGUAAAAUCAUGUUGGUAACUAUAAUUGACAAAUUGAGUAAUUUUGACAAAUGAUGAAUCAGGAACUUGGAAUUGGAUAUACUACAGCAGCUUGAGCCAUGUCAAUGACAAGCAUAAUCUCCUAACCAAACCUGAGUGUUGCCCCUUGUAAUCUGCUGGAUAAGAUUGAAAUUUUAUUAUUAUUAUUAUUAUUAUUAUUAUUAUUAUUUUUAUUUAUUUAUUUUUUUUUUUUUUUCCUUUCAAUCUAAAAGUAUUGAUUGCUGCCCUGAACUCAUGUUGGACACAAUAUGUUCUGUUGGAAGCCCCUUGUAUUGUAUUGUAUUUGAGACCUCUUUUGCCUUGGAAGUUUAGCAUUUUUUCUUUAGUUCUAUUUCUAUGUUAUUGGUUCUAAAUUCGAGAAACUACCUGUGAGGACUUCAGCUGAAUCAAAUAUUGCUCUAUAUAGGGUUAUAUUUAGUUAGACCAGUCAUAUAGGGUGAUGGGUAUUUAUGGAAUUCAGCACCAAAAUAAGAAUUGAAGUGGUUAGAUUUCCGUUUUCCAAUCAUCCGAAAAUUGGUUGUGAUAAUAGGACCAAGCUCAUUCAUAACAUCAGUACACAAACCCCUAAUAGCACCCAUGUCUUACAUUUAGUUGAUGUUAAACAAUCAAUUCCUUCAAUUCAAUUUUUUAUAUUUUUAUAUAUAUUUUUUUAAAGUAGAAGUAAAGAUUACUUAGGUAGAGAUCAUUUUUUUUUUUUUUUUUUUUUUGGGUUCAAAUGAAUUAGUUUUUGAGUCGAUUUUCCUAUAAAAACGGCCUGCAUUCAGAACUCCUGGUGCAAACCCUUAUCUGGAGACAAAUCUGAUGUAGGUUGCAUAUCAUGAUUUAUAACUAGACUCACUUGCUCUUUGGUGAAUCUUUGGUCAUUUUUAACAGAUCUGAAAGCAGAAUGAUACAAACCAAUAAUUGUAGAUGUUGUUUCUAACUCAUCUUUCACGAUUGGUAGGUGUGCUGAAAGCUUAGUAGUGGAGGAACCUAUAUCUAUGGUAUUGCUGACUCCAUUUUAGAUUUGAAGAAGAAGAUGUUUAGUUGAUUGAGCUUGUAUACUGGAGACUGACUGACUUCACAACUUUUACACUAUUGUCAACUGUAUAACUGCUUGAUGUUAGUCCACCAUUAGGAGCCUUGAAAAAAUUUGAGGAUUUAUUGUACCUACAAAGAAAGAGGCUCAAACAACUAGCUGAUUCUGUCAUCAAUUUCAAUAGUAGAAAUCAGUUAGCUAAUUUUUUUCCUUGCACUGAUAGAUUUUAACUAAUUCCUUUUGUCUGCAUCAGUACUUCAUAUACACGAAUUAAAUGCUAAUUUUUUAUCCACAUAAUGAUAGAGAAAUCAUGACUUCAAUACGAGAAAUUUAUAUAUAUUAUGCAUGACAUGCUAUUUGAUUUAUUCCUAAAUCAAGAAUCUUUUAAACUAAACUCUUCAUUUAUUGUUGUUUUCAGCAUGAGAAAUUAGGCAAGCCACAUAUUACUUCAAAGUUAUUCGAACGUGUACACCAUCGAAACAAAGGAGAAGGAGACUUCUUAGACAUCAAGUCACUAAUUGUGUGGGUAAGUAGAAAUAAAUCCUGUUUUCAUUAGACUUUACACUCUAAAUGUCAUGUUAUUAGCUAGCUAGUCCUAGACACUAAAUGGUGGUUGAAUGAUUUGUAAAUAUUAUGCCCUAAGUCCAAUCAAUUUUGGACGAAAGAACUUUGAAUAUAUAGUUGAUGCAAUUUCA
rnacentral:lncRNA from 1 species